rnacentral:rRNA from 1 species
CAUAUCAAUAAGCGGAGGAAAAGAAACCCAACAGGGAUUGCCUUAGUAACGGCGAGUGAAGCGGCAAUAGCUCAAAUUUGAAAGCUGGCGUCUUCGACGUCCGCGUUGUAAUUUGUAGAGGAUGCUUCGGCGAGGACUCCUGCCUAAGUCCCCUGGAACGGGGCGUCACAGAGGGUGAGAAUCCCGUAUGUGGCGGGCGGUCCAAGCCAUGUGAAGCUCCUUCGACGAGUCGAGUUGUUUGGGAAUGCAGCUCUAAAUGGGAGGUAAAUUUCUUCUAAAGCUAAAUAUUGGCCAGAGACCGAUAGCGCACAAGUAGAGUGAUCGAAAGAUGAAAAGCACUUUGGAAAGAGAGUUAAAAAGUACGUGAAAUUGUUGAAAGGGAAGCGCUUGCAACCAGACUCGCUCGCAGUUGCUCAGCCGGCCUCUUGGCCGGUGUACUCUUCUGCGAUCGGGCCAGCAUCAGUUCGGGCGGCUGGAUAAAGGUGUCGGGAAUGUAGCACCCUUCGGGGUGUGUUAUAGCCCGGCGCGGAAUGUGGCCAGCCUGGACUGAGGAUCUCGCUUCGGCAAGGAUGCUGGCGUAAUGGUUGUAAGCGGCCCGUCUUGAAACACGGACCAAGGAGUCUAACAUCUAUGCGAGUGUUUGGGUGUCAAACCCAUGCGCGUAAUGAAAGUGAACGGAGGUGGGAACCCUUCACGGGGUGCACCAUCGACCGAUCCUGAUGUCUUCGGAUGGAUUUGAGUAAGAGCAUAGCUGUUGGGACCCGAAAGAUGGUGAACUAUGCCUGAAUAGGGUGAAGCCAGAGGAAACUCUGGUGGAGGCUCGCAGCGGUUCUGACGUGCAAAUCGAUCGUCAAAUUUGGGUAUAGGGCGAAAGACUA